rnacentral:rRNA from 2 species
GGGUUGUGAGGUUAAGCGACUAAGCGUACACGGUGGAUGCCCUGGCAGUCAGAGGCGAUGAAGGGCGUACUAAUCUGCGAUAAGCGCCGGUAAGGUGAUAUGAACCGUUAUAACCGGCGAUACCCGAAUGGGGAAACCCAGUGUGAUUCGUCACACUAUCAUUAACUGAAUCCAUAGGUUAAUGAGGCGAACCGGGGGAACUGAAACAUCUAAGUACCCCGAGGAAAAGAAAUCAACCGAGAUUCCCCCAGUAGCGGCGAGCGAACGGGGAGGAGCCCAGAGCCUGAAUCAGCAUGUGUGUUAGUGGAAGCGUCUGGAAAGGCGCGCGAUACAGGGUGACAGCCCCGUACACAAAAGCGCAUGUGCUGUGAGCUCGAUGAGUAGGGCGGGACACGUGGUAUCCUGUCUGAAUAUGGGGGGACCAUCCUCCAAGGCUAAAUACUCCUGACUGACCGAUAGUGAACCAGUACCGUGAGGGAAAGGCGAAAAGAACCCCGGCGAGGGGAGUGAAAAAGAACCUGAAACCGUGUACGUACAAGCAGUGGGAGCCCCACCACCAAAGCAUUUGCUGUACCGCGUUGACGGAGCGAAGCGACGUCAAACCGAUAAAACAGCAGUGUAAAGUG